rnacentral:miRNA from 1 species
AAGUUUCUGUGCUUGUAAUCUGCA